rnacentral:rRNA from 1 species
GAUGAACGCUGGCGGCGUGCCUAAUACAUGCAAGUCGAGCGAACAGACGAGGAGCUUGCUCCUCUGACGUUAGCGGCGGACGGGUGAGUAACACGUGGAUAACCUACCUAUAAGACUGGGAUAACUUCGGGAAACCGGAGCUAAUACCGGAUAAUAUAUUGAACCGCAUGGUUCAAUAGUGAAAGACGGUUUUGCUGUCACUUAUAGAUGGAUCCGCGCCGCAUUAGCUAGUUGGUAAGGUAACGGCUUACCAAGGCAACGAUGCGUAGCCGACCUGAGAGGGUGAUCGGCCACACUGGAACUAAGACACGGUCCAGACUCCUACGGGAGGCAGCAGUAGGGAAUCUUCCGCAAUGGGCGAAAGCUUGACGGAGCAACGCCGCGUGAGUGAUGAAGGUCUUCGGAUUGUAAAACUCUGUUAUUAGGGAAGAACAAAUGUGUAAGUAACUAUGCACGUCUUGACGGUACCUAAUCAGAAAGCCACGGCUAACUACGUG